AUGACAGCCGCCGUCCUCGCACGCCCGACGCUGGGCAACGUCCAGUGCUUCGGCAGGAAGAAGACCGCCGUGGCUGUGGCCCACUGCAAGCCCGGCCGCGGCCUCAUCAAGGUCAGCGGCGCGCCGAUCGAGCUCGUCCGCCCAGAGAUGCUCCGCCUCAAGGCCCUGGAGCCGAUCCUGCUCGCCGGGAAGUCCCGCUUCAAGGGCAUCGACAUGAGGAUCCGCGUGCGCGGCGGCGGCAAGGUGAGCCAGGUCUACUCGAUCCGCCAGGCCAUCGCCAAGGCGCUCGUCGCCUACAACCAGAAGUACGUCGACGAGGCAGCCAAGAAGGAGGUCAAGGAGAUCCUGGGCCGCUAUGACCGCACGCUGCUCGUCGCCGACCCGCGCCGUUGUGAGCCCAAGAAGUUCGGCGGCCGCGGCGCCCGUGCCCGCUUCCAGAAGUCGUACCGUUGA
rnacentral:rRNA from 1 species